GCCUAUAUAUAUAUUUUACGCAUUGACGUCACUCUUCCACUUGAACACGCCGGGACACGCCCCCCUUGAGCGCCUGGACACGUUCCCCUGAGAACACCCGGUUGUGAUGACGCAUGAGUUGAACUACGGCAGAUGAGAUGGCCAUUCUUUAUGUUCUUUUUGAAGACUUUAUGUGGUGAUUCCACAGAAAGGGGCGGGCACUUGUCAAUCAAGAAGCUCCCCUGAGUAUUGCAUGACCUGCACCCAAGGUCAGUGACAUGGUCAAGUUUUUUAUAGCGCUUUUUACCAUUUUCUUGUUACGUAGCAGUUGUACAUGAGAAACAUUGACUAUAAGCAAAAAAAACAUUUAGUUAUACAUGUAAAAACAAGAAAAGGUGAACACACAGAAGACAGACACACCCACAUACAAAAUACUCCACACAAACAAUAUGCACUAGUACUAUCACACUGUGACAUAGACACACACAUACAAAUGCACACACGGACGCGCACACACAGACAAGCAUGCACACACAGACACACGCGUACACACAUGUGCAGUGAAAUGCACACAUUUAAGAUAAAGGAGAGAGAAACACAUGUCAAAUAUUAAACAGACUAUACAUUCUUAUUUGCAAUAUUAAUUAAGUAAAACUUAAAAAAUUCUAGAGCAGCCCACCCUGCCAGGCAAAUAGUGCAAAAGCAGUAUACAACGGUGGCAAAACUCAGGAGAACCCAUGCCCAACCAGGGGAUUCCAGUUCCCCUCUGGCAAAAGCAGCAGCCUCUGCAAAACACAACAAGGCUAAAUAAAAAUAAAUACAAUUUGUAAUAAGGUAAAUUAAAGAUUUAAGAUUAUCAUUAAUAAUCUAGGGGGGGCACGGUGGUUUAGUGGUUAGCACGUUCGCCUCACACCUCCAGGGUUGGGGGUUCGAUUCCCGCCUCCGACUUGUGUGUGUGGAGUUUGCAUGUUCUCCCCGUGCCUCGGGGGUUUCCUCCGGGUACUCCGGUUUCCUCCCCUGGUCCAAAGACAUGCAUGGUAGGUUGAUUGGUAUCUCUGGAAAAAUUGUCCGUAGGGUGUGAGUGCGUGAGUGAAUGAGUGAGUGUGUGUGCCCUGCGAUGGGUUGGCACUCCAUCCAGGGUGUAUCCUGCCUUGAUGCCCGAUGACUCCUGAGAUAGGCGCAGGCUCCCCGUGACCCGAGGUAGUUCGGAUAAGCGGUAGAAAAUGGAUGGAUGGAUUAAUAAUCUAAAAGCAUUUGUCAUUUUGUAGUGAAGACGUGUCAAGUCGCCGCGUCUUUCUUUAUCCAGCUCUAUCAUCUCAGCUCUUUUCAGGUCCCGGCUUCCCAUUCUCCCCAGGUCCGGCCAUGAACUGCCCGAUGUGGUAACCUUGGAACAAUGAGGCAUGACAUCUGAGAGAGAGUUCUGUUCUGAACUCUUUGAUGUAACAAGUAGACCAGUUGUUGUUUGAAGCGUUCCAGGUUCCGGUUGAUCUAACUAAUGUCUAAACCCUCAAAGGAUUUAUAUCAUGGAAGUGUUGUGUAUGGAAGAUUAAAAAGAUGCGCCUAACUGACAGAAUGUGUCUGCCUCCAGGACAGUGCAGGGAAGACCGUUCCAAAGUUUAGGUGCUAGGUAGGAAAAGGAUCUACCACCUGCACUUGAUUUUGAAAUUCUAGGUAUUACCAACUGACAGGACGCCUGAGAGCGUAAUGCACAUGAAGGACUGUAAUUCAAGAGAGAGAAAAAGUGACCUUUUUUUUAAGAUAUGAUGACCCAUGCCCGAAAUGUGAUCUCUGCAUUUAAUCCAUCCAGUGAGUAGUGAUCACAUGCACAGCAAGUUGUGAACACACAUACACACAGAGCAGUGGGCAGCGAUCACUGCAGCACCUGGGGAGCAAGAAGAGAGAAACAUCAAACAUGUAGGAUCUGUGGUGCGAAAGCCAGGCGGUUACGUCAUCGUGGAGGGACAUCAUGACUGAAUAUUUAAGGUUACUGGUUUAGGAGUGACGGGCAUUCCAUUAUUCUCAUAUACUGGAUAAAAAUCAAGAAGAAAGUGAUGAAGCUUGUUAAACAAUCACAAUUUUUCUGCCAAAACAACAUUGAUUAUUUUACCACAAUUCUAACUGUACAAUUGUUUCUUUAAUGAUUCAUCAGGAUAGAAGAAAAUCUUUGUUUCAUUGUGCUACAAAUUGGAAAAUAUGUGUCUUAAGCUGAUUUAAUAAACCUAAUCAGCAGAUAUAAAAUGCAAUUAUUGACGGACAAAAGUGAAAGAAUAGUACACAUUUCUAAUCCUGUUUACAUUAACCAAACUCUGUGAACUAAAGUAUUAAUAAACUAUUUCCAGGGAUG